rnacentral:rRNA from 1 species
AUUGAACGCUAGCGGGAUGCCUUACACAUGCAAGUCGAACGGCAGCACGGACUUCGGUCUGGUGGCGAGUGGCGAACGGGUGAGUAAUGUAUCGGAACGUGCCCAGUAGCGGGGGAUAACUACGCGAAAGCGUAGCUAAUACCGCAUACGCCCUACGGGGGAAAGCAGGGGAUCGCAAGACCUUGCACUAUUGGAGCGGCCGAUAUCGGAUUAGCUAGUUGGUGGGGUAACGGCUCACCAAGGCGACGAUCCGUAGCUGGUUUGAGAGGACGACCAGCCACACUGGGACUGAGACACGGCCCAGACUCCUACGGGAGGCAGCAGUGGGGAAUUUUGGACAAUGGGGGAAACCAUGAUCCAGCCAUCCCGCGUGUGCGAUGAAGGCCUUCGGGUUGUAAAGCACUUUUGGCAGGAAAGAAACGUCGCGGGUUAAUACCUCGCGAAACUGACGGUACCUGCAGAAUAAGCACCGGCUAACUACGUG